UACGAAGGUGGCAAGCGUUGUUCGGAUUUACUGGGCGUACAGGGAGCGUAGGCGGUUGGAUAAGCCCUCCGUGAAAUCUCCAGGCUUAACCUGGAAAGUGCAGAGGGGACUGUUCAGCUAGAGGAUGGGAGAGGAGCGCGGAAUUCCCGGUGUAGCGGUGAAAUGCGUAGAGAUCGGGAGGAAGGCCGGUGGCGAAGGCGGCGCUCUGGGACGGUACUGACGCUGAGACGCGAAAGCGUGGGGAGCGAACAGG
rnacentral:rRNA from 1 species